rnacentral:misc_RNA from 1 species
GAAAUGCGAUAAGUAAUGCGAAUUGCAGAAUUUCCGUGAGUCAUCGAAUCUUUGAACGCACAUUGCGCCCAUUGGUAUUCCGAUGGGCAUGCCUGUUCGAGCGUCAUUAUCCUCCCUCAAACCCGGCUUGUGUGAUGGGCCCCGGCGUCUCGUUCGCGAGACGGGCCCGAAAGGCAGCGGCGGCGUCGACCCGAUGAGCCCGAGCGUAUGGGGACUUCUGUCACACGUUCGCGGUGCGGACCGGCGCCUGCUUGACUUUUCUGAUUAUCCAGGUUGACCUCGGAUCAGGUAGGGAUACCCGCUGAACUUAAGC